UGGGGAAUAUUGCACAAUGGGCGAAAGCCUGAUGCAGCAACGCCGCGUGAGUGAUGAAGGCCUUCGGGUUGUAAAGCUCUGUCUUUUGGGACGAUAAUGACGGUACCAAAGGAGGAAGCCACGGCUAACUACGUGCCAGCAGCCGCGGUAAUACGUAGGUGGCAAGCGUUGUCCGGAUUUACUGGGCGUAAAGGAUGCGUAGGCGGAUUUUUAAGUGAGAUGUGAAAACCCUAAGCUUAACUUGGGGACUGCAUUUCAUACUGGAAAUCUAGAGUGCGGGAGAGGAGAAUGGAAUUCCUAGUGUAGCGGUGAAAUGCGCAGAGAUUAGGAAGAACACCAGUGGCGAAGGCGAUUCUCUGGACCGUAACUGACGCUGAGGCAUGAAAGCGUGGGUAGCAAACAGGAUUAGAUACCCUGGUAGUCCACGCCGUAAACGAUGAGUACUAGGUGUAGGAGGUAUCGACCCCUUCUGUGCCGCAGUUAACACAAUCAAGUACUCCGCCUGGGAAGUACGAUCGCAAGAUUAAAACUCAAAUGAAUUGACGGGGUC
rnacentral:rRNA from 1 species